CGGCGGCACACAGGGGGGGGAGCCGCGGGACGCAUGCGCGUCGCGUGGAGGGGGCGCGGCUGAGGGGAGGUGCGUGUGGGGUCUCGGUGUGUCGUGAGUCGGGGGUGUCCCCUGAGGGAGCGCGGGGCUGGGCUCUUCCCUUCGCUCCUACAGUGACUGCUUCGUCUCCUCCUCCUUCCCCGCUCGUUUUUCCAGUGACCCCCUGCAGGACCGCCCACCUUGCAGGCAGUCUGCAGCCUUGUAGCUCUUCAGCUCCCUCCAAAUGCCUGGUUUAAAACAUGUAGGUGCUUGGUAGCCUGGGGCUGUUAGCGUACAAGUGCUGCGAAGCGAUUUCAGAGUUUCGUGUGCUUUCUGUUUGCUUCUGAAUAAGAGAAGUUGAGUCUCCUCGUGGAGUUCCUUACCAUUCGUUUGAUGAGCCCAUUUAAUUGCAGAGUUGCAAUGUAGAAUGAAACCAUUGCUGCUGAGUUAAUUAAGACAGUACAAAUAUUUUUAAGGCUGGUACAUGGUGUAUGUCAGCAGUCUUGUAAAAGCAGUAUGAAAGUCAAUUAGAAAAGGACCCAUCAAUGAUAGAGGUGGAUUCUAUUACAGCACAGAGAAUGAGUUCAGCCAGCUUAAUGAGAAAGACUUGAUAGUUUGAUUGAAGCUGAAAUGUGACCUUAGAAUGAUGGGAGAUCUCAGUUCAAAAUGCUCACUGAACUUUUCUCUGACCUGCCUUCAACCCUCAGCCUACAUCACAGGCUUAAGCAGGACUCAGGUGGAAUUCCAGUUUGAUCAGCCCUCAGUUUUCUAAGCCCAAAUAAGGAAAAGCAAAUAACGUAACUUAAAAUCCAAAUCUUUUAAAUUCCAGUUCAGUCAUGUAUGAGUCAAAUUUUCCAAGCUACUCAGGUGGUAUUACUUCAUUAGGUCUUGAGUCACCUGUGCCUAGGCUGUGGAUUUACAAUAAGAGCUUUAGUCCUUGUUUUGCACCCCAAUAGUAAAAGUCUGCUGUUAAUGAAGAGGGAGAUUUUCAUAUGAGCUAACUAAAGGCACCCAAAGGUAUAAUUUUGAAAGCUGUUUGAACUGACGCUAGCUAUUUCGUAUCUAUAAAUGAUGUGAUCCAAAUUCUUUAAGAACUUAUUCUGCCUUUUGAAAUUUUACUCAAAGGUAUUAGGGCUAGAUAUUAUCAUAGUUUAAACAAAAUAAAGCUGUUUUCUCCUUCUUUUGUCCUCAAAGUGAAGCUAUAGGAUAAAACUUUACAGUGCAGUUAAAAGGUAAGAUUUAUAUUAAAAACUGCAUAUGGUAUGCUGAUUUUUGUAGACUAGAAGACUUAUCUCACAUAUUAUUUAUGGAUCAGACUAUAUGAAACGUUGUGAGUCCUCAUGCUGAACUCUCAAAAUUUGUUGUGAAAGAUGAAAUUCUGAGGCAGAGCAAGAGUCAGCAUAGGCAGUAGCACCCACUAUGGAAGUACUGACUUUAUUCCAUUUAAGUAGUUCUGGUUUAGGAAAAAAUCUGGGUUCUUCUUAGUAUUCAGCUUCUCAGCUGCUAUUAGAAGUUUACAAAGAAACCUGACCUUGUGUAAAUACUUUUGGUGUUGAAAAUCUGGGUUGACUAUCUUUUAAUAAGCCAUCAGAUAUGAACUUGUCUCUUCCUUCAUAAAAUAUGUAUAUAUAAAAUAUAUAUAUCUUUCAGAUAAAGUCAUUUUAAAAAUGAGGUAUCAUGAUGGAAUAUGUAUCACAACCCUACAGGAGUUGUUCCAAUAAUUAUUUACUCUGUGCUUUGUUUCUGCUAUGUAUAUCCAGUUUAAAUUUAUCGAGAUUCAGCUUCCUGGAAUUGUUGUUUUUAAUGCCCAUAUCUGCUUGUUUAAGACCCUAUUUUAGUUAUGUUCUUGUGCAGACACUGUUGGUAACAGUUCUUUAUGAAGUUAAAUUGAGUUUCUUCAGUCUGUCUUUAUAAUGUUAGAUUCUUGCAACUUUUUGAAUCUUUUAUAUUCCUUAGAUUCAUAAAUUAGAGACAUUUUUGUAAUACAUUAAGUAUUUUCAUUGUACUUUAUGCCGAUAUCAGUGGUGAAUUUCUAAGUUACUGAACUUUUAUACUGAAGAUGGGUGUAAUUUAGGAAUUACUAGCUUUUUGUAGUCCAUUUUUAUGGUGACUUUCUGGAGAGCCUCCUGACAGCACAUAUAUUUUUCUUUACUGUUGCCCUGAGAGUCAGGAAAAAAAGGUGUGGACUCCUGAAUCAUACAGUAAAUUCAAAUGGAAAUGAAGCCUGUGUUAUCAACCGCUGAUAUAAACAACUGACACAAACAUUAAUAAUGAGUUAUGAACUACUGACACAAAAUAAGAUUUUUUUCCUAUUUACCUAACAAAAACAUACAGCACAUGAAGUGCUUAACAGAAUCAAGUAUAUGUCUGUGUCACCAAAAAAAAAAAAAAAAAUUAAAAGUAACUGCUUUACUGUGUCAAAUCUAGAAAAGUCCUUUGUUUUCUGCAUUUAGUCAGACCCAUUUGCUAAGUGGAAGGUAGAAAAAAUCUUUUUAUUGGCUGAUUUGCAUUAAGAGGCAUUUCUUUUUUACCUCUGCUAAUAUUGGCUUAAAUCCUGAAUGAUUUCAUUAUCUAAGUAAAUGCUUAAUCUCUUGAAAAUCCUGCUAAACUUUUGCCUUUGCUGAAAGCUCUGAUAAUUUGUUGUAGUUAAUUUUGUAUUUAAAUAUAUUACCUUUUGGUUCCACUAAAUGUUCCUUGUUUUUCCUUUUUAAUAAUGGAGAGAUGAAUAAAUACUAAUUUGAUCCCUUCUGUCAUGUUAUUUUACAGCCUUCUGCUGUUUGCUCCUACUAGUUUCUUGUUUAAGCCAUACCAUUAUUUUUUUUUACAGUUUGCCACUGCAGUCACUGCAAGUGUAUGUAAUGUAAAAUUAAAUACUUAUGGAAGUUUGUGUUUAA